UACGGAGGGGGUUAGCGUUGUUCGGAAUGACUGGGCGUAAAGCGCGCGUAGGCGGUCUGGAAAGUCAGGGGUGAAAUCCCGGGGCUCAACCCUGGAAUGGCCUUUGAAACUCCCAGCCUUGAGUUCGAGAGAGGUGAGUGGAAUUCCGAGUGUAGAGGUGAAAUUCGUAGAUAUUCGGAGGAACACCAGUGGCGAAGGCGGCUCACUGGCUCGACACUGACGCUGAGGUGCGAAAGCGUGGGGAGCAAACAGG
rnacentral:rRNA from 1 species